rnacentral:rRNA from 1 species
UACGAAGGGGGCUAGCGUUGCUCGGAAUUACUGGGCGUAAAGGGAGCGUAGGCGGGUCGUCAAGUUGGGGGUGAAAGCCCAGGGCUCAACCUUGGAAGUGCACUUGAUACUGCAAGUCUUGAGUGUGGUAGAGGCUAUUAGAAUUGUUGGUGUAGUGGUGAAAUACGUAGAUAUCAACAGGAAUACCGGAGGCGAAGGCGGAUAGCUGGGCCAACACUGACACUGAGACCCGAAAGCGUGGGGAUCAAACAGG